UACGUAGGGUGCAAGCGUUGUCCGGAAUCAUUGGGCGUAAAGAGCGUGUAGGCGGCCAGGUAGGUCUGCUGUGAAAACUCGAGGCUCAACCUCGAGACGUCGGCGGAAACCAUCUGGCUAGAGUCCGGAAGAGGAGAGUGGAAUUCCUGGUGUAGCGGUGAAAUGCGCAGAUAUCAGGAAGAACACCCGUGGCUAAGGCGGCUCUCUAGUACGGUACUGACGCUGAGACGCGAAAGCGUGGGGAGCGAACAGG
rnacentral:rRNA from 1 species